UCUGGUGCCAGCAGCCGCGGUAAUUCCAGCUCCAAUAGCGUAUAUUAAAGUUGUUGCGGUUAAAAAGCUCGUAGUUGGACUUGUGUCCCACGCCGUCGGUUCGUCGCCCGUCGACGUAACCGCACGGUUAUGUGAGUGGGACGUCCAGCCGGUAUGUGAGUGGGACGUCCAGCCGGUGGGUCGCAGGUCGUGAGCUAUGCUGGCCGCGCCCCUUGGCGGUUCCAUAUCAUGGCCGCGUCGUGGGUGUGUCGGGAGGUGUUUGUGUCGCGUUCGCGUUCGUCGAAGAUCGCCUGGCCCGCAAUAAAACGGCGCUGUGUUGUGGGGACCGUCUCUCACUCAGGGUGUCGCUGUGUCGGCGCACACGGUGCCGGACCCCAUGUUACUCCGUCUCGGUGCUCUUAAUCGAGUGUCUUGACGGGCCGGCUCGUUUACUUUGAACAAAUUAGAGUGCUUAAAGCAGGCCAAUUGCUGCCUGAAUAUUGUGUGCAUGGAAUAAUGGAAUAGGAUCUCGGUUCUAUUUUGUUGGUUUUCUGAACCAGAGAUAAUGAUUAAUAGAGACUGACGGGGGCAUUCGUAUUGCGACGUUAGAGGUGAAAUUCUUGGACCGUCGCAAGACGAACAUAAGCGAAAGCAUUUGCCAAGAAAGCUUUCUUUAAUCAAGAACGAAAGUUAGAGGUUCGAAGGCGAUCAGAUACCGCCCUAGUUCUAACCAUAAACGAUGCCAACUAGCGAUCCGCCGGUGUUCCUCCGAUGACCCGGCGGGCAGCUUCCGGGAAACCAAAGUGUUUGGGUUGGUUGCAAAGCUGAAACUUAAAGGAAUUGACGGAAGGGCACCACCAGGAGUGGAGCCUGCGGCUUAAUUUGACUCAACACGGGAAACCUCACCAGGCCCGGACACUGGAAGGAUUGACAGAUUGAUAGCUCUUUCUUGAUUCAGUGGAUGGUGGUGCAUGGCCGUUCUUAGUUGGUGGAGCGAUUUGUCUGGUUAAUUCCGAUAACGAACGAGACUCUGGCCUGCUAACUAGUCGCACAUUGACGACAUCCGCAUUCGUGCUGUCGGCGACAAAUAUAAACUCUUCUUAGAGGGACAAACGGCUUCUAGCCGUACGAGAUUGAGCAAUAACAGGUCUGUGAUGCCCUUAGAUGUUCUGGGCCGCACGCGCGCUACACUGAAUGGUUCAACGUGUGUUUUCCCUUGACCGAGAGGUCCGGGUAACCCGCUGAAAUCCAUUCGUGCUAGGGAUCGGGGCUUGUAAUUAUUCCCCGUGAACGAGGAAUUCCCAGUAAGCGCGAGUCAUAAGCUCGCGUUGAUUACGUCCCUGCCCUUUGUACACACCGCCCGUCGCUACUACCGAUUGAAUGAUUUAGUGAGGUCUUCGGACAGUCGCGCGGCGGCGCCCGCAAGGGCCCGUCGAUGUUCGACUGAAAGAUGAUCAAACUUGAUUAUUUAGAGGAAGUAAAAGUCGUAACAAGGUUU
rnacentral:rRNA from 1 species